GUGCCCCUAUAGUACAUAUAUUAAAAUUGAAACAAUGCAAAGAGGAUCUGCAUGGCCCCUGCACAAGGGCGACAUCCAAGUUCCUGAAGCCUUCCAUAUUGUU
ensembl:snRNA U6 U6 spliceosomal RNA